rnacentral:rRNA from 1 species
AGCAGUCGCCGCGGUAAUACGAGGGGGGCAAGCGUUGUCCGGAAUAUUGGGCGUAAAGGGUGCGUAGGCGGUUUGGCAAGUCUUGUGUGAAAUCUUCGGGCUCAACCCGAAGCCUGCACGAGAAACUGCCGGGCUUGAGUAUUGGAGAGGUGAGUGGAAUUUCCGGUGUAGCCGUGAAAUGCGUAGAUAUCGGAAGGAACACCUGGGCGAAAGCGGCUCACUGGACCAUUUCUGACGCUGAUGCACGAAAGCUAGGGGAGCAAACAGGAUUAGAUACCCGAGUAGUCCCUGUCUCUUAUACAC